AAGACAAAUAAAAAUAUAUAUAUAUUUCUCAUCAUAGGGCGAUCUCAGUUAAAAAUGAAAUUACAAGUACAUUUCCUCUGUUUUGCUAAUGUUAACGAAUAUUUGAAACUUCGCGUUCAAGGUGAUGUAAGAGCUUCAAACAUCUAUUUCGAUAACCUGUUGAGACCUUCAUCUCCAACGCAAAAAAAUGAUCGCGAUCAAGCAACAUCACUCUGCGUUAUGAUCAAUGCCUAGAAUUUCUCGAAUCAAACAAGAUGUUAACUCGGUGAUACUCAUCUCAUCUGGAUCAACGACUACGUUAUCACAAGAGCAAGUCAAUGAGAUUGCUCUGGGUUUAGAACAGAGCAACCGUAGAUUUAUUUGGGUACUAAGAAAAGGAGAUAACGCGGAGAAACUUAAAGAUAAAGUCGUAAAGAUUGAAUUACCCGAAGGGUUUGAAGUAAGAGUGGAAGGAAGAGGAAUAAUGGUUAAUUGGGCAACACAAUUAGAAUUCUUGGGACAUUCAUCGACAGGGGGGUUUAUGAGUCACUGUGGAUGGAAUUCAUGUAUCGAGAGCAUUAACAUGGGAGUACCUAUAGCUACUAGGCCAAUCAGUUUCGAUCAGCCAUUUAACGCUAUACUUGUAACUAAUUUGUUGGAGAUUGGAAUCACUGUCAAGUGUUGGUCUCACCGCGAUGAAUUGGUAAAAGCAUCAACCAUAGAGAAAUCUAUCGAGACAUUGACGAGUACCAUAGAAGGGGAAGAAAUGAGGCAAACGGCAAUGGAAUUGAGCAAAAAGAUCAAAAACUCUGUUAGCCACGGAGGACUUGCACGCGAGGCCAUGGAAUCAUUCAUAUCACAUAUAAUUGAAUAACUUCACCGUUGAAGUUUGCUUUUAGUUACGUUGUUAUGCAAUAGUAAUUUUUAGCAAAAUAAGUUUGAUAUUUAAGAUUGUUUUAAAUUUCAAAUUAUGUGUUUAUGAUGUCUAUUGUAAGUCCUUCAACGCUUAAUAAAAUUAUUGAAAGUCAUUUCAAUCUAUUGAGAGACAUUUUCAAUCCUUCUUUGUUGCCCUAUCUUCUAUUGAUUUGAUUGCUAAUGGAAACUUGAUGAAGAUAGUGAGGUUAAUAUUUCCAUUUUCCUUGAGCCAAAGGGUCUAUUGGAAACGGCUUCUAACUACCUCUCAAAGAUUGAAUAUACGUUUUACUCUGACCUCCAAAACCCAUUUCACAUCCAAGUCGUUAUUCCUUAAUGAGAAGAGGCGUAAAGAGAUAGUUCUGUCACGUCUCUAUGUCGACCAAGGUUAUUUGUCUAAUAGAAAGCGUGCUCCUGCAGCCGUUGAAGUUUGUAUAUCGAAAACGUUGUUGCUAUGUUGCUCAAAGUCUUCAAAGAUCUCGACAAUUGUGUGUUGGAUCUUCCAAAAGUAGUGAAUUUUCGGAGGAUCUAAUACAAGUGUUGCAUCAUUAGAGAGUCCGAGCAACUUAACCUAUUUGAUUCUUACGAAAAAAACAGACAUAAUACAUAAACAUGAUCCUUAACUUGGUUCAGCAGAUAACUAUGCGCUCCAACUUUGAGUGUGCAUUAGUAAGCAGUUAAACUUGUUUAAAAUUGAACAAAUAGACACGCGUAUCCUAUAUGACAUAAUACACGUAAGACACAAAAUGAAACAUAUUGUUCAUUGUUCAAAACAAGUAGAUUUGUGAGGCAUACCAGGAAACACCUGCCGAGACUUUCACACUUGAAUCACUGAUUCUGAACUCUACAAUGGCCUGCAUUUGGUACAAACACAAUGAAUGUAAAGAAGAAGUUAAUGGCUGAAUGGCAUUGCUUACGUAAGGCGGAACGGUCAACUUGAUGCGCGAGAGGCAUGAGUGCAGUUCAAUCUCUACUACUGAAAAUAUUUGUUCUCUUUGCAAGGUGAACAUAGCCAGGAAGAAGAGAAUGAAGUUGUCCUUGGACCAUAUUGAUGAUAUCAGGGUCGUCUGGUGUGAUGGAUAUAAGAUAAAUAAUCCCGAAAUAAGUUUUUACUACUCAUC
rnacentral:lncRNA from 1 species